ACGGCCAUACCACGUUCAGAUAUCAGUUCGGGUUCUCGUGAGAUCAUCGAAGUUAAGCAACGUCGAGCUUGUUCAGUACCAAGAUGGGUGACCGCUAGGGAAUACCAGGUGCUGUAA